UACGGAGGGUGCGAGCGUUGUCCGGAAUCACUGGGCGUAAAGGGCGCGUAGGUGGCGCGGGCAGUCAACGGUGAAAGUUCGGGGCUCAACCCUGAAUCGGCCGUCGAUACUCCCGUGCUUGAGCACUGUAGAGGCAGAUGGAAUUCCGGGUGUAGCGGUGGAAUGCGUAGAGAUCCGGAAGAACACCGAUGGCGAAGGCAGCCCCCUGGGCUGACACUGACGCUCAGGCACGAAAGGCGUGGGGAGCAAACAGG
rnacentral:rRNA from 1 species